GUUUCCUCUUAACCACAUCCACACUCUACCUCACCUUUCCACGUUACCCCUCUCUCUUUGUACAUUAAAAAGAAAGGAAAAAAGAAAACAAAAAGAAGGCACAGACUACCUCCUCAAAAGGCCCACCUUCAAUCUCUCUUAAACUCACACUCUCCACUCACCCACACCUCUUCGUCACUUCCCUCGCCGGUAAAAUCUCACCGAUCAUCCUCUUCCUCCGCCACCCUUUCACUCUUCAUUCCACUUCCACAAUCACCGCCUGGCUUCUUUCUUUCCACUGCUCGCUUUCUCACACCAGCGACUCCCUUCGUUCCCCCGUCUUCCGAACCACCGACCAAACUCCAUCCAUUGCCGGUGAAAUCGUCCGCCUCCACGACACACAUACCUCCGUCGCCGCCGACUCGCCGACUGCGCCGGUAUCACUCAUCCCCACCACCACGAACCUCUGGUCGCCGCCGCGAAGCUCCGCUCGCUUUUCCAACGAACUCACCAUAUUGCAGACGUGGUUCGAUAGGGUAAAAAAUGCAAUGAUGAGUUUGUUUUGAUGUGGUACUUUACUCCAUUACAAAAUCGAAUUCUAUGCCAUGGACUCGACAAAUUCAUGUCGACAUGCCGCCUGCCACUCUUUUUUUUUUCUAGGCACAUGAAUUUUAGAUGGUAAGUCUUUUCCUUUUUUUUAUCUAUUAUGUUUUAAUAGUAUUUUUUUUUUCUGUUUUUAUUUCUUUUCUAUUAGUAAGUUAUUUUCCUUUAUUAGUAAUCAUGAUAAUAACUUGUUUUUUAGUAAUGAAUUGUUCGGGUAGUGGUUUCAUCUAACCAUGUUGCAGUUAGUUUUUAUUUCCUAAUCUCACCAUGAUUAAAGGAAAAACUUAUUUAGUUUAUCCUCUUUUGCUUUAUAUUUUUAAAUCCAUUUUUAUAAUUAUAUGAAUAUAGUUUAGGUGUUUGCUUGUUUCUCUUUACAUUAGGCCCAUAUACCAUUUGACACUUCUUAUAUUUCAUACAUGACUUGUAAAAUGAUGUGAAUAAUUAUGAGUUGGUGUUGUUGCUUAAUUUC